rnacentral:lncRNA from 1 species
GUUUUAUUUGAUUUUAAGUAUAAAUACUGAUACACGAAUCUGUGAGACUGAUGCUACUGACCAGGGAGUAACAAAGAAAGGAGAUGUGAAGAGAUCUGAGAGCAACGAAAGGUGAAUAAUGUCUCUAGUUUUACCAACAAAAGCAAUUGACAGGCGUUUUGCUGACUAAAUGGGUCUCCAAGUACAGACUGGAAAAUAAAACUAACCAACAUAAAAAACUGUGGAACAAU